rnacentral:rRNA from 1 species
GACAGAGGAUGCAAGCGUUAUCCGGAAUCACUGGGCGUAAAGGGCGCGUAGGCGGCGCGGGGAGUCAACGGUGAAAGCUCGGCGCUCAACGCCGAGUCGGCCGUCGAUACUCCCGUGCUCGAGCACUGUAGAGGCAGGUGGAAUUCCGGGUGUAGCGGUGGAAUGCGUAGAGAUCCGGAAGAACACCGGUGGCGAAGGCGGUCUGCUGGGCAGUUGCUGACACUGAGGCGCGACAGCGUGGGGAGCAAACAGG